UCCAUCUGCCCUGCGUUUGUUCAGUGUACCUCUUUUGCCAAACAGUUCGGAACGCGAGAAAGUUUGCACGGAACUUUUGGGAAGGUUCUCAAGGGGAGGGGGAAAAGAAAAAAUAGUGGAGGGAGCUUGGGCUCGUCCGGGAUUUGAACCCGGGACCUCUCGCACCCAAAGCGAGAAUCAUACCCCUAGACCAACGAGCCACGACAAGUAUAUACUCCCCACUGUUGCCCUGGAUUUCAUUUUCCGGUCAGCAAUUGGCCGCCAGGCUACUCUGGAAUUUUGUCUUCUGUUGUGAUCAUUAUUUUUUUUGACUUGCCUAGUUUUCCCUUCCCUCUUCAUGAAGUCUCACGCCUGACUCUAGCCCUAGCCUCGCUUAUCCUUGCUGAUUUACGUCCUGGACCCUUCCAGACGCUAGAUGGGGUGAGGAGAGGCAGCUUUUCAGACUUCAGCCGGCUUUUCUGAGUUCCACCGCCCCCGCCCCGAAUGGGUGUAGCCGCGAGCUCCAGUCUUGAGGGAACCGGAUUGGAGCCCGAGGGCACGCGCGGGGUUCGGUUGCGACACUGUAGGGUCCUGAGCCCCUGGACAGACGAACAGAAAGUGGAUCUGUCGCAUGCUACUACUUCGUGCGAGCGUAAGAUCCGAGGGCAGGACUGGUGGGCAUCAAAAUACGGGGAACCGGAGACGGUUGGAGGUGAACCAGUCUGGCGCGUGUUGGGCUAUUCCAGAGCCCUCGCAGUUUUUCUGAAUGAGAGUCAAGUUUUCCAUCUCUCCACAUUUGCUUAAAUUGUUUGCUGCGUCUGGAAUUCUCUCCCCAAUCUCAUCUCAAUUCACGUCAGAUCCUGUACCUCCUUCCUGAUUCGGCUCGACAUCUUUUCAUGCAACUAUUAAAAUAUAUAAACAGCUAAAUACAUUUUUUAGACCUCUUUUUGCAUGGAUGUGUGUACAGAGUGGGUCAGACACUCGGGCUCAAGGUCACAGUUAGGGGGUUUGUUCCACAAAUUAGUCCCGAAGGCCGCAGAGCACACACGAGUACGUAUAUUUAUAGUCUAUUGUGUAAUAGGCCAACGAAUGGUCUUGGGUCUCCGACCUUUAUUUGAACCUCAGGCAGCUGGGUUGCCAAUCAGAAGCCAAAACAAAUGACAUCUUAGAGAAGGAAUCAAAACUUUGCCAGUUGGUUGGGAGAACUGUUGCACGCUUUAACAACCAUGACUGACGGGGUCAACUUUUCAUGACGUGAUGUAAGGUCUGAAGAAGACAGAGAAUGGAACAAACCGAAUGCAACGGCUAGUCCAAAACAUUAGCCCCUCCUUCGAGCCGGAAUCGAACCAGCGACCUAAGGAUAACUAGACAGGAACGUGCUACAGUCCUCCGCUCUACCAGCUGAGCUAUCGAAGGGUGAACUGACUCAUGCUCUGUGGAAUCUCCUAUUCAGGAUAUCGAUAAACAGAGGUGGGUAGGAGAUAAUCCUAGUGGUUGCCAAGUGCGCAUAGUAAAGUAACUAUCUUGUGAGAACGUCCUGCAUUCGCAGUUCAUUUGCAGUUCUGGGGACGACCCUUCUAGAGUUGGAUUCUCUUGCUUCACCGAGGGGCUUCCAAGCAGGGCCAACACGUGGGUUCUUCACAGGCGCCCCUUGAGCCCGUGGAUCCCGAGGCCGCCCGCGGAGAGCGGGGCGAGUCUGUUCGCCCCGCGGGCUGUUGUCUUCACGUAGCGCGCGGACCCAGGGCCUUCCUGGCAUGAUGACGCCACAGUUUCUUUGAGUCAAUAACAAAUUUAGUGACCCAACCUGAAUGUUCUCCGUUGAGAUCCUGAAUCGUUCGAAAACCCACAGAAACAUGAAACCUUGCCAGACUGACUGCCCACGUUCUCCCGGAAAGCUGACGCCGGCAGGAGGACCUCGUUGUGGGCUGCAAGGCUGCCCAGAGCGGGUGUUGAGGGCUCGAUCCCAUUCUCUUUCCCCACCGUCCUCAUCCCGGCUCGGGUUCCGGCCGCCCUUCCGGCUGUAGCCGCGCGCGGGUCCGCACAGGCCCGCAGCGAUUCCCUGAGCCUGUAAUGCACUCCUUUACAGCCCAGGCAGCAACGCACCACUUGCACGCAGGCACAGGAACAACAGAGGAAGGGGCUCUGGAGGGCGGAGAGAAGAUAUAAAGAGCGGAAUUUCCACAGGGAUCAAGGUUACCGGAGGGAGGAAGGUGGGGAGUGAGAAAAAUAUUAAAGUAAUAAGGGAGAGUGUCAAGGCCCCAGCGAGAUUUGAACUCGCGACCCCUGGUUUACAAGACCAGUGCUCUAACCCCUGAGCUAUAGGGCCUCACAGGCGGCAGUGUUAGCUCGUUCUUGAAAAGGAAGACUUUUAUGCUGGGUUUUCAUUAGUGUAUCUGAGUGUUGGAAACCGGCAAAACCUGGAUGUCGUUUCAAUCUGUUUCCCAAUAACUGAAAUUCAGUCUUGCAGGUUCUUGCAGGGAUCGCGCAAUAUUGAGGCCAAUGACAGGACCGCCACUAUUUUAAAACUAAGGAAAUCUGCCCAACCCAACACAGUCUAACACAGUGAAAGACCUUUUUUUUUUCCCCCCCUCCCAGCAGCUGUUUGUGAAAAUUAAGGGAAAGAGAAAGUUGCCUACCACAGGUCUCUGCCUUAAAUUCCUUAGACAGAGGGACCUUUCUCACAGCUGAGUCUCAGCGCCAGAACAGGCAUUCAUUAAUUCGCUAUUUAAUUAACCCCUGUAUUUAACAGACACUGAAUUCUAAUUCUGUGCUAGGCUCUGAAAUAGGAGCAAGGCAUCCAGAUAUGGUCUUUAUCUUGAAGUCACUGUCAUGGUUUUGCGGAAUAAAAGAACUUUAGUUUUCAUGAAAGAGAACAAAAAUAGCUGUGCCAGUGCAAGGGGGUUGUGGACAGUGCCAAGAUUUACAAACUUAUGGAGUGAGCCAUCAUAGACACAGGCCUUCAGGAGGGGAUGGGCUUGAGCAGCACCUUGGAGGGAGAUUAAAACUUAGACAAGUUUGAAGGCAGUGUGAUCUCUGGAAGCAGAAAAGUUAUGAGCAAAGUUAGAGAGAGACUGAAGCAUAUAAGAGGCCAAGGCAGAGAACCUUGGCUGGGGCAGAUGACUGCCCUCCUGAGAGUGAGAGAAGGUAAGAAGACAGGUUAGUAGGAGAGAGAGAGAUUUCUGGAAUGAAGUUACAUCGUUUUAAAAACUGAAAAUGGAAACUCACCAAGCAUAGAUAUACAGAAUGAAUUGAAGGGAAGGGAGACUAGAGUCAAGGGAACACCAGAGAUUGGCCAUGG